rnacentral:rRNA from 1 species
GAUGAACGCUGGCGGCGUGCCUAAUACAUGCAAGUAGAACGCUGAAGCUUGGUGCUUGCACCGAGCGGAUGAGUUGCGAACGGGUGAGUAACGCGUAGGUAACCUGCCUCUUAGCGGGGGAUAACUAUUGGAAACGAUAGCUAAUACCGCAUAAAAGUCGAUAUCGCAUGAUAUUGAUUUGAAAGGUGCAAAUGCAUCACUAAGAGGUGGACCUGCGUUGUAUUAGCUAGUUGGUGAGGUAACGGCUCACCAAGGCGACGAUACAUAGCCGACCUGAGAGGGUGAUCGGCCACACUGGGACUGAGACACGGCCCAGACUCUUACGGGAGGCAGCAGUAGGGAAUCUUCGGCAAUGGGGGCAACCCUGACCGAGCAACGCCGCGUGAGUGAAGAAGGUUUUCGGAUCGUAAAGCUCUGUUGUAAGAGAAGAACGAGUGUGAGAGUGGAAAGUUCACACUGUGACGGUAACUUACCAGAAAGGGACGGCUAACUACGUG